rnacentral:rRNA from 1 species
GACGAACGCUGGCGGCGUGCUUAACACAUGCAAGUCGAACGGAAAGGCCCUGCUUUUGUGGGGUGCUCGAGUGGCGAACGGGUGAGUAACACGUGAGUAACCUGCCCUUGACUUUGGGAUAACUUCAGGAAACUGGGGCUAAUACCGGAUAGGAGCUCCUGCUGCAUGGUGGGGGUUGGAAAGUUUCGGCGGUCGGGGAUGGACUCGCGGCUUAUCAGCUUGUUGGUGGGGUAGUGGCUUACCAAGGCUUUGACGGGUAGCCGGCCUGAGAGGGUGACCGGCCACAUUGGGACUGAGAUACGGCCCAGACUCCUACGGGAGGCAGCAGUGGGGAAUAUUGCACAAUGAGCGGAAGCCUGAUGCAGCAACGCCGCGUGCGGGAUGACGGCCUUCGGGUUGUAAACCGCUUUCGCCUGUGACGAAGCGUGAGUGACGGUAAUGUGUAAAGAAGCACCGGCUAACUACGUG